rnacentral:rRNA from 1 species
GACGAACGCUGGCGGCGUGCCUAAUACAUGCAAGUCGAGCGGACAGAUGGGAGCUUGCUCCCUGAUGUUAGCGGCGGACGGGUGAGUAACACGUGGGUAACCUGCCUGUAAGACUGGGAUAACUCCGGGAAACCGGGGCUAAUACCGGAUGCUUGAUUGAACCGCAUGGUUCAAUUAUAAAAGGUGGCGUUUUAGCUACCACUUACAGAUGGACCCGCGGCGCAUUAACUAUGUUGGUGAGGUAACGGCUCACCAAGGCAACGAUGCSUAGUCGACCUGAGAGGGUGAUCGGCCACACUGGGACUGAGACACGGCCCACUACUCCUACGGGAGGCAGCAGUAGGGAAUC